GGGGAAUAUUGGGCAAUGGGGGCAACCCUGACCCAGCAACGCCGCGUGAAGGAAGAAGGCCUUCGGGUUGUAAACUUCUUUUAUGAGGGACGAAAGAGAUGACGGUACCUCAUGAAUAAGCUACGGCUAACUACGUGCCAGCAGCCGCGGUAAUACGUAGGUGGCGAGCGUUGUCCGGAUUUACUGGGUGUAAAGGGCGCGUAGGCGGGGGAGCAAGUCAGAUGUGAAAUCCCCGGGCUUAACCCGGGAACUGCAUUUGAAACUGUUUUUCUUGAGUGAUGGAGAGGCAAGCGGAAUUCCUAGUGUAGCGGUGAAAUGCGUAGAUAUUAGGAGGAACACCAGUGGCGAAGGCGGCUUGCUGGACAUUAACUGACGCUGAGGCGCGAAAGCGUGGGGAGCAAAC
rnacentral:rRNA from 1 species